GACGAACGCUGGCGGCGUGCCUAAUACAUGCAAGUAGAACGCUGAAGGAGGAGCUUGCUUCUCCGGAUGAGUUGCGAACGGGUGAGUAACGCGUAGGUAACCUGCCUGGUAGCGGGGGAUAACUAUUGGAAACGAUAGCUAAUACCGCAUAACAGUAGAUAUCGCAUGAUAUCUGCUUGAAAGGUGCAAUUGCAUCACUACCAGAUGGACCUGCGUUGUAUUAGCUAGUUGGUGAGGUAACGGCUCACCAAGGCGACGAUACAUAGCCGACCUGAGAGGGGGAUCGGCCACACUGGGACUGAGACACGGCCCAGACUCCUACGGGAGGCAGCAGUAGGGAAUCUUCGGCAAUGGACGGAAGUCUGACCGAGCAACGCCGCGUGAGUGAAGAAGGUUUUCGGAUCGUAAAGCUCUGUUGUAAGAGAAGAACGAGUGUGAGAGUGGAAAGUUCACACUGUGACGGUAUCUUACCAGAAAGAGACGGCUAACUACGUG
rnacentral:rRNA from 1 species